rnacentral:rRNA from 1 species
CCUACGGGAGGCAGCAGUGGGGAAUAUUGGGCAAUGGGCGCAAGCCUGACCCAGCAAAGCCGCGUGAAGGAAGAAGGCUUUCGGGUUGUAAACUUCUUUUUUCAGGGACGAAGCAAGUGACGGUACCUGAGGAAUAAGCCACGGCUAACUACGUGCCAGCAGCCGCGGUAAUACGGAGGUGGCAAGCGUUAUCCGGAUUUACUGGGUGUAAAGGGCGGGUAGGCGGGGACGCAAUGCAGAUGUGAAAACCACGGGCUCAACCUGUGGCCUGCAGUUGAAACUGUGUGUCUUGAGUACGGGAGAGGCAUACGGAAUGCGUGGUGUAGCGGUGAAAUGCGUAGAUAUUAGGAAGAACACCGGUUGCGAAGGCGGUCUGCUGGACAGCAACUGACGCUGAGGCGCGAAAGCGUGGGGAGCGAACAGGAUUAGAUACCCUAGUAGUC